rnacentral:rRNA from 1 species
GACGAACGCUGGCGGCGUGCUUAACACAUGCAAGUCGAACGGAAAGGCCCUGCUUUUGUGGGGUGCUCGAGUGGCGAACGGGUGAGUAACACGUGAGUAACCUGCCCUUGACUUUGGGAUAACUUCAGGAAACUGGGGCUAAUACCGGAUAGGAGCUCCUGCUGCAUGGUGGGGGUUGGAAAGUUUCGGCGGUUGGGGAUGGACUCGCGGCUUAUCAGCUUGUUGGUGGGGUAGUGGCUUACCAAGGCUUUGACGGGUAGCCGGCCUGAGCGGGUGACCGGACACAUUGGGACAGAGGUACGGCCCCGACUCCUACGGGGAGCAGCAGUGGGGAAUAUUGCACAAUGGGCGGAAGCCUGAUGCAGCAACGCCGCGUGCGGGAUGACGGCCUUCGGGUUGUAAACCGCUUUCGCCUGUGACGAAGCGUGAGUGACGGUAAUGGGUAAAGAAGCACCGGCUAACUACGUG